GUGCUUGCUUUGGCAGCACAUAUACUAAAAUUGGAACUAUACAGAGAAGAUUAGCAUGGCCCCUGUGCAAGGAUGACACGCAAAUUCAUGAAGCAUUCCAUAUUUUU
ensembl:snRNA U6 U6 spliceosomal RNA